rnacentral:misc_RNA from 1 species
GAAAUGCGAUAAGUAAUGUGAAUUGCAGAAUCUCGUGAAUCAUUGAAUCUUUGAACGCACAUUGCGCCCUUUGGUAUUCCAAAGGGCAUGCCUGUUCGAGCGUCAUUUGUACCCUCAAGCUUUGCUUGGUGUUGGGCGUUUUUUGUCUUUGGCUCGCCCAAAGACUCGCCUUAAAACGAUUGGCAGCCGGCCUACUGGUUUCGCAGCGCAGCACAUUUUUGCGCUUGCAAUCAGCAAAAGAGGACGGCAAUCCAUCAAGACUCCUUCUCACGUUUGACCUCGGAUCAGGUAGGGAUACCCGCUGAACUUAAGC